UACGUAGGGGGCAAGCGUUGUCCGGAAUCAUUGGGCGGAAAGCGCGCGUAGGCGGCCAGAUAAGUCCGGUGUGAAAGUCAAAGGCUCAACCUUUGAAUGCCGCUGGAAACUGUCUGGCUAGAGUCCGGAAGGGGCGAGUGGAACUCCUGGUGUAGCGGUGAAAUGCGCAGAUAUCAGGAAGAACACCAAUGGCGAAGGCAGCUCGCUAGGACGGUACUGACGCUGAGGCGCGAAAGCGUGGGGAGCAAACAGG
rnacentral:rRNA from 1 species